UACGAAGGGGGCUAGCGUUGCUCGGAAUCACUGGGCGUAAAGCGCACGUAGGCGGCUUCUUAAGUCAGGGGUGAAAUCCUGGAGCUCAACUCCAGAACUGCCUUUGAUACUGAGAAGCUUGAGUCCGGGAGAGGUGAGUGGAACUGCGAGUGUAGAGGUGAAAUUCGUAGAUAUUCGGAGGAACACCAGAAGCGAAGGCGGCUCACUGGCCCGAUACUGACGCUGAGGCGCGAAAGCGUGGGGAGCAAACAGG
rnacentral:rRNA from 1 species